CGACACUGCCCAGACACCUACGGGUGGCUGCAGUCGAGAAUCUUCCACAAUGGGCGAAAGCCUGAUGGAGCGACGCCGCGUGCAGGAUGAAGGUCUUCGGAUUGUAAACUGCUUUUCUUUGGGAGCAAGCCGAGCACCUUUUUGAGUGCUAUAGUAUAUACAUGUUUUAUGUGUAUGUAUUAAAAGGUUCUUCAAAUCCAAAAUAUUACAUAGGUUUUACAACUGAUCUUAAAAAAAGAUUUAGUGAGCACAAUGCGGGAGAAAAUAUUUCUACGCGGCGUGGUAAACCCUGGGUUUUACUCUAUUUCGAGGCAUACGAUAAAGAGGUCUAUGCCCGCAAUAGAGAGCGCAUGCUUAAACAAAGAGGCAAAGCAUGGCAAGAAUUAAAAAAAAGGGUUGGAGAAAUAGUGCUUAAAAAGGUGCUCGGUUGAGAGUACCAAAGGAAUAAGGGCUUGCUAACCUCGUGCCAGCAGCCGCGGUAAUACGAGGGGCCCAAGCGUUAUCCGGAUUUACUGGGCGUAAAGGGUCCGUAGGGGGUUAUGUUAGUCCUCUGUUAAAUCUUCCGGCUUAACCGGAAAAAUGCGGGGGAAACGGCAUGACUAGAGGAUGUGAGAGGCUGAUGGAACUCACGGUGUAGGGGUGAAAUCCGUUGAUAUCGUGGGGAACACCAAAGGCGAAGGCAAUCAGCUGGCGCAUUCCUGACCCUGAGGGACGAAAGCGUGGGGAUCGAAAAGGAUUAGAUACCCUUGUAGUCCACGCCCUAAACGAUGAUGACUGGCUAUUGGAAGUAUCGACCCUUCCAGUGGCGAAGCUAACGCGUUAAGUCAUCCGCCUGGGAAGUACGGCCGCAAGGCUAAAACUCAAAGGAAUAGACGGGGACUCGCACAAGCGGUGGAGCAUGUGGUUUAAUUCGACGAUGAGCGAAAAACCUUACCAGGGCUUGACAUCCCAGUGAAAUUCCCUCGAAAGAGGGAAUGUCUCACAAGGACACUGGGACAGGUGCUGCAUGGCUGUCGUCAGUUCGUGGUUUGAACUGUUCCCUUAAGUGGGGUAACGAACGCAACCCCUGUCGUCUGUUAUAAGUAUCAGGCGAGACUGCCCCCGCCCAAGCGCGUUUACUUUGUGAACGCUUAAAUUCAAAAUUAAAAGAUCAAAGUGUAAAAUUGAUGUAAAAAUUUUUGGCUGAAAAUUUUGAAUUUGAGCAGGAGCGAGGCGAAGUGCGUUUAGGCGGGGGAGGAAGGUGGGGAUGACGCCAAGUCAGCAUGGCCCUCUGAUGCCCUGGGCUACACACAUGCUACAAUGGUCGGUACAAAGGGACGCUAAAGGGUAACCUGGAGCAAAUCCCAUCAAAGCCGGCCCCAGUUCGGAUUGAGGUCUGCAACUCGACCUCAUGAAGUCGGAAUCGCUAGUAAUCGCGGAUCAGCACGCCGCGGUGAAUACGUUCUCGAGUCUUGUACUCACCGCCCGUCACGUCAAGGGAGCCGGGAGUGCCCGAAGUCCCUGCUUAGCAGGGCCGAAGGCAAGUUCGGUGACAGGGACGAAGUCGUAACAAGGCACGG
rnacentral:rRNA from 1 species